CUCUGAGUGCAAUAUCAGGUCUUACUGUCCCUGCCCAGCCUCCCCUGAGGCCUUCCCCACUACUACGUAUGGACACAGGAGCUCAUCUCUGCUCAGCCUGGUCCCUGUAGGAGCCUGGGCUCAACCCCUGGACCUGGACCUUGGACCCAGGCUGCAGCCAUGUCCCCAGCCCUAUCUCUGUCACCAUCUCGUGCUGCUGGAGACCCUGGCCCUGAAAUCUCACCACCAAUAUGUUACUGUUGAAUUUCAAUCAACAUCUUUUUCGUCUUACUUUGCAGAAUUUUGGCAUCCCAGAGAUUCAGUCAGCCCUACCUUGCAAGGAAAAAAAAAAAUGUUUUUUCCACAGCAGUAGAGAUCUCAUUGCAGUACAGGUCAGUCAAACUCUGGAUGGACAUCCUCCCUCAAUCUUCAGUCUGUUAAACAGGUGGAAUUUCUCAUGUUCCAACUUAAAAUCCUAGAACUGCACAAAAAUCUGGUUUGGAAAGGAACCUCUUCAUGGAAGGAAACCUCUUGGAGAGGACAUUCUUCAACUCCCUCUUCAAAAGAAGGUUUUAGAUUAGAUUAUCCAGUGUGUUGUCAAGGUGAGCCUCAGGUAACAAGGGAGAUUCCUCCACUUUUCUGGGCAACUUAUUAAGUUGUUCUCACAGAGAAAUAUUUUUUUUUUUCUAAAUCAAGAUGGAAAUUGCUUUUUGCUUAUCACAUUACUGCACACCUUCAAGACUCUGGCUCAUCUCUUCUACACUUUUCUACAUCGGCAUCUGUAGAUAGCAGUAAGACCCCCUCUGAUAUUCUUUUCCCCAGACUGAACAAACUCAUUCUCUCAGUCUCAUCAUAUGUCAAGUACUCCAGCUCCAGCACCUGUCAUCUCAGUAGCCCUUCCCUGGACUCGCUCCAGUAGGCCAAUGUCUUUCUUGUACUGGGGAGUCCAGACAGGGGCACAAUACUUUAGAUUGGGUCUCAUGAGUGCCAA
rnacentral:lncRNA from 1 species